UACGAAGGACCCGAGCGUUAUCCGGAUUCAUUGGGUUUAAAGGGUGCGUAGGCGGAAUGAUAAGUCAGUGGUGAAAUCCUGCAGCUCAACUGCAGAACUGCCAUUGAUACUGUUGUUCUUGAAUACAACUGAUGUGGCGGAAUGUGCCAUGUAGUGGUGAAAUGCUUAGAUAUGACACAGAACACCGAUUGCGAAGGCAGCUCACAAAACUAUAACUGACGCUGAGGCACGAAAGCGUGGGGAUCAAACAGG
rnacentral:rRNA from 1 species